GUGUUCUCGAAACGCGACCUACUCGAGAGAGUGGUCCCGUUCUUCGAUCAGCAUCCGCUGGCAUCGGGCAAGGUGAAUGACUAUCUGCGUUUCCGCGAGAUCGUGAUCCGUAUGCACCGCAAGGAGCAUCUGCAUCGCGACGGUUUCGUGACGAUCGUGUCCUUGGCGUUCGGGAUGAAUGCUCGUGGCAAGCAGCGAAAGUACCGGAUCAAGUCCGUGCUCACCGGAAUCCUCAGAGACUGCACGCCGGACGCCUCCCAGGAGGCGAAGAUACAGUCCGAGCCCCGUGGCGACACGGGGAGCUGGGCAGAAAUGCCCCAGCCACCUGCGCUGAAGCGCGCAGCGUGUAACAAGACUGCCUAAGGUAGCGAAAUUCCUUGUCGGGUAAGUUCCGACCUGCACGAAUGGCGUAACGAUUUCCGCGCUGUCUCAACCAGGGGCUCAGCGAAACUGUAGUACCGGUGAAGAUGCCGGUUACCCGCAACGGGACGGAAAGACCCCGUGCACCUUUACUAUAGCUUGGCACUGGACUUUGGGGUUGCAUAUGUAGGAUAGGUGGGAGACUGUGAAAUCCUGACGCUAGUUGGGAUGGAGUCAACCUUGAAAUACCACCCUUGUUAUUCUAGAGUUCUAACCUCGGUCCCUUAUCGGGAUCAGGGACACUGCCUGGUGGGUAGUUUGACUGGGGCGGUCGCCUCCUAAAAGGUAACGGAGGCGCGCGAAGGUUCCCUCAGGCUGAUUGGAAACCAGCCGUAGAGCGUAAAGGUAUAAGGGAGCUUGACUGCGAGACCAACAAGUCGAGCAGGUACGAAAGUAGGCCUUAGUGAUCCGGCGGUUCUGUAUGGAAGGGCCGUCGCUCAACGGAUAAAAGGUACGCCGGGGAUAACAGGCUAAUCUCCCCCAAGAGUUCACAUCGACGGGGAGGUUUGGCACCUCGAUGUCGGCUCAUCGCAUCCUGGGGCUGGAGUAGGUCCCAAGGGUUUGGCUGUUCGCCAAUUAAAGCGGUACGUGAGCUGGGUUUAAAACGUCGUGAGACAGUUUGGUCCCUAUCUGUUGCGGGCGGAGGAUAUUUGAGAGGAGCUGUCCCUAGUACGAGAGGACCGGGAUGGACGAACCUCUAGUGUUCCAGUUGUCACGCCAGUGGCAUCGCUGGGUAGCUACGUUCGGACGGGAUAACCGCUGAAAGCAUCUAAGCGGGAAGCCCACCUCAAGAUUAGAUAUCCCGUGGCGUAAGCCACCUAAAGACCCCUCGGAGACUACGAGGUUGAUAGGUCAGGUGUGUAAGGCCAGUAAUGGUCUGAGCUUACUGAUACUAAUCGGUCGUGCGGCUUGACCAU
rnacentral:rRNA from 1 species